rnacentral:rRNA from 1 species
AUUGAACGCUGGCGGCAGGCCUAACACAUGCAAGUCGAACGAGUGGCGGACGGGUGAGUAAUGUCUGGGAAACUGCCCGAUGGAGGGGGAUAACUACUGGAAACGGUAGCUAAUACCGCAUACCAUCGGAUGUGCCCAGAUGGGAUUAGCUUGUAGGUGAGGUAACGGCUCACCUAGGCGACGAUACCGAGCUGGUCUGAGAGGAUGACCAGCCAAAGUGGAACUGAGACACGGUCGAGACUACUACGUGAGGCCGCAGUGGGGAAUAGUGCACAAUGGGCGAAAGCCUGAAGCAGCCAUGCCGCGUGUAUGAAGAAGGCCUUCGGGUUGUAAAGUAAUUUCAGCGGGGAGGCGUUACCCGCAGAAGAAGCACCGGCUAACUCCGUGCCAGCAGCCGCGGUAAUAC